UCCCUGGUGGCUCAGUUGGUAAAGAAUCUGCCUGCAAUGCAGGAGACCUGGGUUAGAUCCCCAGAUUAGGAA
rnacentral:tRNA from 1 species